GUACUAGUAGUAGUAGUAGUAGUAGUAGUAGUAGUAGUAGUAGUAGUAGUAGUAGUAGUAGUAGUAGUAGUAGUAGUAGUAGUAGUAGUAGUAGUAGUAGUAGUAGUAGUAGUAGUAGUAGUAGUACUAGUAGUAGUAGUAGUAGUAGUAGUAGUAGUAGUAGUAGUAGUAGUAGUAGUACUAGGGUGAGUUAUUUGGGUUCCUGUUAGUCCGCUGUAGCUGCUGCUGCAGUCAACCUCAGAGUUAGGAACUCGUUUCGUUGCACCCUAUCAUGGCCUAGCUCAGUAACAUCUAGAAACAGAAACAGUUGUACAGAUAGAAGUCCAGCGGCUGAGCCACUGUUUGAAAACGUUGAAGGCGUGCUCUAGCUCUGUAAGUGUAGCUAACGAUUACGUUCCUUGCGCAGACACCAUCGCUCACCAAUAUUUCAUUCAGCAAUUCGUCCCAUGCCCACCGUCCGAGUCGGUUGGGUGGAAACUGUAGCUAGCGCACCCUUCACUUCAGCUGAUCACCGCGCGCGGCUUAGCGAAAGCUGACUGAUUUCGCCCCUCUGCCAGCCUCAGUAGCACGGAUCUGUUUGGCAUUGACAUACCGGUAUGCAGUGGGUCGACAUUGGCCUGGUUUGGCAGCUAUCUGCCUGGGUGGAUGUAGCAGGUUUGCAUUGGCUCGUCGUCCAGUCCGACAUUUUCUUGUAACUGUGGAGUACCGGUAGGGUUUGAGAGGUUGCUCAUGCUGUGAACACAUCUCUACUGCCUGUUUCGUCCUGGAAGUGCCGUCUCGCCGCUUCCUUGCUCUACAGUCGUGCUUAUUUCGCUUUAUUUCGUGGUGCAGCUCAAAACCUGCCCAAACAACUGUGAGCUCGCAACAUGGUAUGGACAAAUUGCGCCACUCAUGCUGGAUGACUAAAACCAGGAUAGUCCAGUAAGCGAGUUUACUCCCUGGGCCAUGGCAAGAUCUGUUCAGCGCGGGCUAUUCCAACCUCCAAGUGCAUAGUCACCGAUCGAUCCAUGCGAUGGUGGUUGACCUACAAAGAGCCAAGGUCUAUGAGUACUACUAGUGGAUGCUGUCUACAUGCAGUCAACAAAAUCAAAGUACCUCAGUAUGCCCCAGAACAGGGCAUGUGCAUCUAUAGCAUGACACAACAGGGGUUCUGGCGGCACAUGUCAAACAAGCAGUAGCUACUAGUGCCAGCUACCUAUUAGAGGCUAGCCGCUACAGUCUGUCACUGGAGAUAAUUAUUGUGUUCAUUGUUUGGACUGAGCACAAUCAAUGAUGCCCAAUCAAUCUGCCCAAUGUGUGUUCUGUUCCACUUAAUUAUAACGUCCCAUCGCAUCAACCCUACUACACGCACAUGUCGUCACUCUAGCAUGACUUGUGUUAUUAUUGUUUAUUUUGAUUUGCACGAUAAAUAGAGCACAAAAAACGUUAACUUGACCGAA